GACGAACGCUGGCGGCGUGCUUAACACAUGCAAGUCGAACGGAAAGGCCCUGCUUUUGUGGGGUUCUCGAGUGGCGAACGGGGGAGUAACACGUGAGUAACCUGCCCUUGACUUUGGGAUAACUUCAGGAAACUGGGGCUAAUACCGGAUAGGAGCUCCUGCUGCGUGGUGGGGGUGGGAAAGUUGCGGCUGUCGGGGAUGGACUCGCGGGUGAUCAGCUUGUUGGCGGGGUAGUGGCUUGCCCAGGCUGUGACGGGUAGCCGGCCUGAGAGGGGGAACGGCCACAUUGGGCCUGCGAUACGGCCCAGACUCGUACGGGAGGCAGCAGUGGGGAAUCUUGCCCAAUCGGCGCGAGCCUGUUGCAGAAACGCCGCGUGCGGGAUGACGGCUUUCGGGUUGAAAACAGCUUCCGCCUGUGACGCAGCUUGAGUGACGGUACUGAGAAAAGAAGCACCGGCUAACUACGUG
rnacentral:rRNA from 1 species